AUGGUGACGGUGCCCCCUGACCGGGGCUCAAAAGGGAAUGCGGUGCCGGACGUCCUUAACGGAUCGUUCGAAGGCCGCAGCUGCCCCCGCAACUGUAAGCGGCGAAUCUCACGUCAGAUGCCACUGGGAUUCUCGGUCCUGGGAAGGCGGCGUUGAGGUGACGACCCGCGAGCCAGGAGACCUGCCGUCAGCCG
rnacentral:ncRNA from 1 species